rnacentral:piRNA from 1 species
UGUCAUAAUUGCUCCUCCUCUCUG